rnacentral:rRNA from 1 species
UACGUAGGCAGCGAGCGUUGUUCGGAGUUACUGGGCGUAAAGCGUGCGUAGGCGGUGUCUUAAGUUUGUUGUGAAAUCUCCCGGCUUAACCGGGAGGGUGCGGCGAAUACUGAGAUGCUGGAGUGCGGGAGAGGUAAGCGGAAUUCCUGGUGUAGCGGUGAAAUGCGCAGAUAUCAGGAGGAACACCGGUGGCGAAGGCGGGUCUCUGGGCCGAUACUGACGCUGAGGAGCGAAAGCGUGGGGAGCGAACAGG